GCCCGGGUGGCGAAAUGGUAGACGCAUGGGACUUAAAAUCCCCUGGCCGUAAGGCCGUGCCGGUUCGAGUCCGGCCCCGGGCACCA
rnacentral:tRNA from 1 species